CCUGACCUUCACUGGGGUUUACGCCAGUUUACGACAGUUUCCUCUCUACCAGAAGUGAGAGGAGUCACAGGCUGGCUCCAACUCAACAACCGGGCUGCCAAUGUGCAGGUUGUGCAGCGAGGUCGUCUGCUCUCAGGCCCGUGUGGUUUCUGCUUGGCUGCAAGCUGAGGUGGCGAAUGUUUGCUGUUACGUCCCUACUGACCUUCUCGCUUCUGCGGUCUACGGCUGUAUAUGAACAUCCCACAAGGUCGGUACUGCUGUGACCAUUUUAGGGAUUCCACAGUGGAAGAAAAGAAACAACUUCUGAAAGUGGUCCUCUCACUUCCACACUCCUUUGAUUUCAGGAAUCUUCCUGCUUCUGUAUCCUAAGGACUGGAAUUGUGGGUGUGUGCCAUCAUAUCUGGCUCCAUGAGAUGUUUUGAUACAUGUGUCCGUUGUAUAAUGUUCAGACCAGUGUAAACAUAUUUAUCUUCUAAAACAUUAUUUCUUUCUGAUGAAAACAUUCAAAUCCCUUUGAUCCAGUUUAACAAAUAUACAGCAGAUUAUCAUAGAAAACUUUACCUAACUACAACUUUGAGCCCAUUACUUACCUCCCCCAGUCUUGCUAAUCACAUUAAUUGCUUUCUGUUU